rnacentral:rRNA from 1 species
GAAUUUUGGACAAUGGGGGCAACCCUGAUCCAGCCAUCCCGCGUGUGCGAUGAAGGCCUUCGGGUUGUAAAGCACUUUUGGCAGGGAAGAAAAGGCUCUGGCUAAUACCUGGAGCUGCUGACGGUACCUGCAGAAUAAGCACCGGCUAACUACGUGCCAGCAGCCGCGGUAAUACGUAGGGGCAAAGCUGUAAUCGGAAUUACUGGGGGAAAAGCGGGGGAGGGGGGUACGGAAAUAGGAAUGGGAAGCCCAGGGGCUUACCCUGGAAAUGGAUUCUUAAACGGCGGGGCAGGGGAAUGUAGGGGGGGGUAGAAUUCCGCGUGUAGCAGUGAAAUGCGUAGAGAUGCGGAGGAAUACCGAUGGCGAAGGCAGCCCCCUGGGAUAAUACUGACGCUCAUGCACGAAAGCGUGGGGAGCAAAC